GGUUCGGUGGUGGAUGGUCCACACUUGCAGAAAUUCAGAAGUCUUCGAAACCUUUUCGCAAGCGUUGCGUGUUCGAAUCAUGCCCGAGCCA